rnacentral:rRNA from 1 species
AAGAAGUGUAAUUUUUAGAUCAAAUAAAUAAUAGCUAUGUUCUUUAAAGUUAAAUAAUUUGGCGGUAUUUUAGUCUUUUCAGAGGAACCUGUUCUGUAAUUGAUAACCCACGAUUUAAUUUACUUUAAUUAAAAAUUUAUAUAUCGUCGUUAUUAAAUAUUUCAAAAGAAUUUUAAUAUUUAAAAUUUUUAAUUUUAAAAUAAAUCAGAUCAAGGUGUAGUUUAUAUUAAAGUAGAAAUGGGUUACAAUAAAAUAAAUUUUUUAAUUUAAUGUUGUAAAAUAUUAAUGAGAUUGGAUUUGAAAGUAAUUAAUUUUAUUUUUUAUUAAUGAUUAAGCUCUAAAGUAUGU